rnacentral:rRNA from 1 species
UACAGAGGGGGCUAGCGUUGUUCGGAAUCACUGGGUGUAAAGGGUGCGUAGGCGGUUAGUUAAGUCUGAUGUGAAAUCCCUCGGCUCAACUGGGGAACUGCACAGGAGACUGCUUGGCUUGAGUUCGGGAGAGGGAAGCGGAAUUCCGGGUGUAGCGGUGAAAUGCGUAGAUAUCCGGAGGAACACCGGUGGCGAAGGCGGCUUCCUGGACCGACACUGACGCUGAGGCGCGAAAGCCAGGGGAGCAAACGGG